UACAGAGGUCUCAAGCGUUGUCCGGAUUUAUUGGGCGUAAAGAGCGUGUAGGCGGCCAGAUAGGUCUGUUGUGAAAACUCGAGGCUCAACCUCGAGACGCCGAUGGAAACCAUCUGGCUAGAGUCCGGAAGAGGAGAGUGGAAUUCCUGGUGUAGCGGUGAAAUGCGCAGAUAUCAGGAAGAACACCCGUGGCUAAGGCGGCUCUCUAGUACGGUACUGACGCUGAGACGCGAAAGCGUGGGGAGCGAACAGG
rnacentral:rRNA from 1 species